rnacentral:rRNA from 1 species
UGGGGGAUAUUGCACAAUGGGCGAAAGCCUGAUGCAGCGACGCCGCGUGGGGGAUGAAGGCCUUCGGGUUGUAAACUUCUUUUGCUCUGAACAAGGCGCACCAUGGGGUGUGUUGAGUGUAGGGGUUGAUUAGCGCCGGCUAACUACGUGCCAGCAGCCGCGGUAAUACGUAGGGCGCGAGCGUUGUCCGGAAUUAUUGGGCGUAAAGGGCUUGUAGGUGGCUGGUUGCGUCUGUCGUGAAAGCUCAUGGCUUAACUGUGGGUUGGCGGUGGGUACGGGCUGGCUUGAGUGCAGUAGGGGAGGCUGGAAUUCCUGGUGUAGCGGUGGAAUGCGCAGAUAUCAGGAGGAAUACCGGUGGCGAAGGCGGGUCUCUGGGCUGUUACUGACACUGAGGAGCGAAAGCAUGGGGAGCGAACAGG